rnacentral:misc_RNA from 1 species
GCGGAAGGAUCAUUAUUGAAUAAUGUUCAUUUCCGUUAAUAAAAAAAUUUUGUAUUUAAUUAUAUAAAGUUUUUACUGUCAUUAAAUAAUUUACUAAAUCACACUUACUUAUUUGUAUAAGCCAACUGAAAUUUGUUGUAAAAGAUUAUUUAUGUCAUGCCCUUAUAGUUUGGAAAUUAUAUAUAUAUUUGUAAGUCUGUGAAUUAGUGAAGAAAAUAUUUUGCGUGUAUAUGUACCAUAGUAUACAUGCGUUGCACAGAUGUAUUGUUCAUUAACAAAUGCGCAUACGUUAUAUAAACGCAACAACCUGAAUAUAUAAUGUUGUACCUGUUUUCAGGUUAAAGCUUUACAUAUAUGUCUUUAAAAAUAUAUAAUUCUUGUUAUAUUUGAAAUUAUAUGUCAUGUACCAUAUUUUUAAAGAUUAUGUAGAACUAAGACAUCUCGCAACAUUGUUUAGGUAUAAAAAUAAUUUUUAUUGAAGGAAUUGAUAUAUGCCAGUAAAAUGGUGUAUUUUUAAUUUCUUUCAAUAAACAUAAUUGUGACGUAAUGAAAUAAACCAAAACAAAUUUAUCACUCUAAGCGGUGGAUCACUCGGCUCAUGGGUCGAUGAAGAACGCAGCAAACUGUGCGUCAUCGUGUGAACUGCAGGACACAUGAACAUCGACAUUUUGAACGCAUAUCGCAGUCCAUGCUGUUAUGUACUUUAAUUAAUUUUAUAGUGCUGCUUGGACUACAUAUGGUUGAGGGUUGUAAGACUAUGCUAAUUAAGUUGUUUAAAAUUUUUCGAAUUUUAAGCAUAUGGUAUAUUAUUGGAU